CAGCAGCCGCGGUAAUACGUAGGUCCCGAGCGUUGUCCGGAUUUAUUGGGCGUAAAGCGAGCGCAGGCGGUUAGAUAAGUCUGAAGUUAAAGGCCGUGGCUUAACCAUAGUACGCUUUGGAAACUGUUUAACUUGAGUGCAAGAGGGGAGAGUGGAAUUCCAUGUGUAGCGGUGAAAUGCGUAGAUAUAUGGAGGAACACCGGUGGCGAAAGCGGCUCUCUGGCUUGUAACUGACGCUGAGGCUCGAAAGCGUGGGGAGCAAACAGGAUUAGAUACCCCGGUAGUCCCUGUCUCUUAUACA
rnacentral:rRNA from 1 species